AUUGAACGCUGGCGGAAUGCUUUACACAUGCAAGUCGAACGGCAGCACGGACUUCGGUCUGGUGGCGAGUGGCGAACGGGUGAGUAAUGUAUCGGAACGUGCCCAGUCGUGGGGGAUAACGUAGUGAAAAUUACGCUAAUACCGCAUACGAUCUAUGGAUGAAAGCGGGGGAUCGCAAGACCUAGCGCGAUUGGAGCGGCCGAUAUCCGAUUAGGUAGUUGGUGGGGUAAAGGCCCCCCAAGCCAACGAUCUGUAGCUGGUCUGAGAGGACGACCAGCCACACUGGAACUGAGACACGGUCCAGACUCCUACGGGAGGCAGCAGUGGGGAAUUUUGGACAAUGGGCGAAAGCCUGAUCCAGCCAUUCCGCGUGCAGGAUGAAGGCCCUCGGGUUGUAAACUGCUUUUGUACAGAACGAAAAGGUUUCUACUAAUACUAGGAGCUCAUGACGGUACUGUAAGAAUAAGCACCGGCUAACUACGUGCCAGCCGCCGCCGUAA
rnacentral:rRNA from 1 species